rnacentral:RNase_P_RNA from 1 species
CUGGCCGCGCGCGAUGGUCGCGGAGGAGCCGACCCCUCCGAGGAAAGUCCGAGCUCUAACGGGUAGACUGCCAGGUAACGCCUGGGCGCCGAGAGGCGACGGAUAGGGCAACAGAGAGCAAACCGCCGAUGGCCCGCGCAAGCGGGAUCAGGCAAGGGUGAAACGGUGGGGUAAGAGCCCACCGCGCCGGUGGCAACAGCGGCGGCACGGUAACCCCCAGUCGGAGCAAGGCCAAAUAAGCGGCGAGGUGUGACCCACACCGCCCCCACCCGAGCCUUCGGGCAACGGUGAGCCGCGGGUAGGCUGCUGGAGGCGGUCGGCGACGGCCGCCGGAGACAGAUGACCAUCCCCCGCGGAAACGCGGGGAACAGAACUCGGCUUACGGCGCGACCAGUGCG